rnacentral:rRNA from 1 species
AUUGAACGCUAGCGGCAUGCUUUACACAUGCAAGUCGAACGAGUGGCGGACGGGUGAGUAAUAUAGCGGAACGUGCCCAGUAGCGGGGGAUAACUACUCGAACGAGUGGCUAAUACCGCAUACUAUUGGAGCGGCCGAUAGCGGAUUAGCUAGUUGGUGGGGUAAAGGCGUACCAAGGCAACGAUCCGUAGCUGGUUUGCGAGGACGACCAGCCAAACUGGGACUGAGACACGGCCCAGACUCCUACGGGAGGCAGCAGUGGGGAAUUUUGGACAAUGGGGGAAAGCCUGAUCCAGCCAUCCCGCGUGUAUGAGAAGGCCUUCGGGUUGUAAAGUACUUUUGGCAGAGAGGCGGUAUCUGCAGAAGAAGCACCGGCUAACUACGUGCCAGCAGCCGCGGUAAUUC